rnacentral:lncRNA from 1 species
AAUGUUACAACUGUAUAGAAGCUUCCUGAACCACUCAUAUACAUCAAUGUAUAUACAGAAAAUAUCUACUCUAUAUUGGCCCAUUGGGCCAAAAAUAAAUAAUAGGCUAAUUACAAGUUGCGCUUGGGCAGCUGCUUCUGUGUUUGGGCUGCUUGAGUGGCCCAGUAACUCCAGUAACUCCAACACCCCCUGCAAGUUGGAGGGUGAUUGAACUCCCAACUUGAGCAAAAUAGAGUGAUGCAAAACACCAGUGAGAGGAUUGGUGAAGAUAUCAGUAGGCUGAGAAGUAGUGAGGAUAUGGUGCAAGGCAAUAAGUCCCUCAUUAAGCUUGCCUCUGAUGAAAUGACAAUCCACCUCAAUGUGUUUGGUCCUCUCAUGAAAUACAGGAUUCUUGGCAAUGUGGAGAGCUGCCUGAUUAUCACAAUAAACUGGAACAGGAUAGGGAACAUCAACCCCAAAAUCAGACAGUAAUCGAAUGAGCCAGGUGAGCUCACCAACAACCUUGCUGAUGGCUCUAUACUCAGCCUCAGCAGAAGAAAGAGAGACCACAGGCUGCUUCUUAGCCUUCCAAGUUCCAAAUGGAUUUUUAAAAUGAAUAAAUGAUGAUUGUACUAUUGACAAAUAUAAGGAAAGGUUUGUCAAAUAUUUCAGAUAACAAGAAGAUCUUGAUUAUUCUAAUACAUGCGUACCGAUAACGAGGAUUGCAUCUAUUCAAGACCACAGGCUGUUUCUUAGCCUUCCAACCAAUAAGGGAGUCACCUAACAUAACACAAAAAUCAGAGACAGACCUUCUGGUAUCUGGACAGGAUGCCCAGUCACUAUCACAGUAAGCAGAUAAUGAGAGAUCAGGAGAGUUGCUGAGAAAAAUGCCAAGGUCAGAAGUGCCUCUGAGAUAUCUGAGGGUGUGCAAAGCUGCAUGCAUAUGUGAGGAAGUAGGCUUCUGGAGAUAUUGGCUUAAAUGUUGGACAGCAAAGGCUAAGUCAGGUCUAGUAUGAGUGAGAAAAUUGGCUACUAAGCACCUAUAGGAUUCCGGAGAGGGAAGAGGAUCCCCUAAGUCUAGUUUGAGUUUGACAGAGAGGUCAAGGAGACAAGUCACAGGAGUAACAUCCUCACAGUGAUAAGCUUUGAGCAGGUCAGUGAUAAUUUUUUUCUGGUGGAGUAGGAGCCCAGCAGAGUGAUAACUGACCUCAAUACCAAGAAAGUAAUUAAGCCCCCCCAAGUCCUUGAUUUUGAACUCAUGAUCAAGAAAACUCUACAAAGCACUAAUUUCCCCCAAAUCAUUACCAGUGAGGAUAAUGUCAUCAACAUAGACAACCAACAAGACAAUAGAAGAACCAGAUUUCUUAAGGAAAAGAGAAUAGUCAUUGAGGGAAGAAGAAAAACCUUUAGAACAUAAGGCCUGGAAGAGCUUGGUAUACCAUUGCCUAGAAGCUUGCCUUAACCCAUACAAAGAUUUCUGAAGCAGACAAAUCAAAGGGGAAGAAGAGGCAGAACAGGCAACAUCCAGUCCAGGGGGCAAUUUCAUAUAAAUUUCUUCAGCUAAGUCACCAUGUAAGAAUGCAUUAUUCACAUCAAGUUGAGAUAAGGACCAAUUCUGUUUAACAGCCACAACAAUGAGGGAUUUGAUGGUUAACAACUUGACAACAGGGGAAAAGGUCUCAGUGAAUUCUACACCCUCAAUUUGGGUGUCACCCCUAACAACCAGUCUAGCCUUAUGUCUUUCCACAGACCCAUCAACCCUAUAUUUGAUCUUAUACACCCACUUGCAACCAAUAUGUCUUUUACCAGGGGGAAGAGGAACUAUUGACCAGGUAUGAUUGGCCCCAAGGCUGCAAAUUCCUUGCACAUUGCCUCCUGCCAGACAGGAAUAGAAGCUUGCUGAUAGGUGGUAGGUUCUGCCUCUGGACUGCUAACCAAGGUGUGAAGACAGGUGGAAGAAGCACUGGGACCAGAAAGAGAAGGAGGGAGGGUGCAGAUAUACUGCUGCAGGUGGGCAGGAAGGACAUGUGCCCUAGUGGAUCUUCUGGAGCAGAUGAAGAAGGCACUGAAGAAGUAGGUGAUGGAGAGGAAGGUGAGGAAGAGGAAGAGGCAAGAGGUUGAUUAGUGGAAGAAGAGGAAGGAUUAGGUAGAGAGUCAUCAACAGCAGGAACCCAGGUAGAAGAAGGAUUGAGAGGAGGAAAAGAGACAUGGGAAGAAAUCCCUGGAGAGGCAAAAGGGAAUACAUCCUCAUGAAAAAUGACAUCACUGGAUAUCAAGGUAAUCUUAGACUUCAAGUUAUACAGCUUGUAACCCUUUUUAGCCAAAGGGUAACCCAGGAAAACAUAGGGAUCAGCUCUGGGCUGGAAUUUAUCUCUAUUCUGUUUUGGGACAGAGGCAAAACAUAAGCAACCAAAUGUUUUAUGGUGUUUGUAGGAAGGAAUCUGGCCAAAUAGCAAUUCAAAAAGGGAUUUGCUGUUGAGUAGUUUGGAAGGAAAUAUGUUAAUUAGGUAUGUGGCAGUAAGCACAAAGUCACCCCAAAAUCUAAUGGGUAGCUGAGAAUGAAAGAGUAGAGCUCUGGAGGUUUCUAGCAGAUAUCUAUACUUUCUCUCAACAACACCAUUUUGUUGUGGUGUGUGAGAGCAAGAAGUUUGAUGCUGUAUGCCAUGUUCAGCAAAGAAGGUGCUGCCACAGCCACUAGAACCUAGUUCAAAUGCAUUAUCACUCCUAAUGGUUUGUACCACAUACUGGAAUUGAGUUUUAACCAUGGCAAUGAAGGCUUUAAUGAGAGGAAAGGCAUUGCUCUUGGACCCCAUAAGAUGGGUCCAAGUAACUCUGGUAAAAUCAUCAACUAUUGUCAAAAAAUAUCUACAACCAUUAUGAGUAGAAGUGGCAUAGGGACCCCAUGUAUCAACAUGAAUAGGUCCAAGUAGCUCUGGUAAAAUCAUCAACUAUUGUUAAAAAAUAUCUACAACCAUUAUGAGUAGGAGUGUCAUAGAGACCCCAUGUAUCAACAUGAAUAAGUUGAAAAGCAUGAGUUGUUUUAAUGGAGCUGUCAGGAAAGGGUAAUCUAGAUUGCCUGGCCAAAGGGCAUAUAGUACAGAGAAAAGGCUGCUUUGUGGAAAAACUACAUGGUAUAGAAGGCAUGCCUUUCAUUCUAACAAAAGGUCUAUGCCCUAGUCUAUUAUGCCAUAACAUCUCCAUUUUAUUCAAGUCAGAAUGGUAUGUACAAUGAGAAGAAGAAACAGAAUUAACAGGUAAUGGAGCAUGUUGUCUAUAAGGAUCAAGAGUUUUAAGAGAAGAAGAUUGCACAAGCCUGUAGAGAUCAUCAUCCAAUUUACCAAUCUCCAGUGGCCUCUUCAGAGAAGGGGCCUGUAUUAAACAAGAGAAUUUAGUAAAUAGAACAAUAGAAUUCAACUGACAUACAAGUUUGGACACAGAAAUGGAUUGUGGUGGAAACUGGGAAUGUACAGGACAUGAUGAAGAGUGAAACAAAGGAAUUGGAUGGAACCAGUGCAUAUCACCUUAACCUUAUAACCAUUGGGUAAGGCAACUAGAUA